rnacentral:rRNA from 1 species
UACAGAGGGGGCAAGCGUUGUUCGGAAUUACUGGGCGUAAAGGGCGCGUAGGCGGCCACUGCAAGUCAGUUGUGAAAUCUCCGGGCUUAACUCGGAAAGGUCAACUGAUACUGCAGGGCUAGAGUGCAGAAGGGGCAACUGGAAUUCUCGGUGUAGCGGUGAAAUGCGUAGAUAUCGAGAGGAACACCUGCGGCGAAGGCGGGUUGCUGGGCUGACACUGACGCUGAAGCGCGAAAGCCAGGGGAGCGAACGGG